rnacentral:tRNA from 1 species
AAGGCUUUAAGUUAAUUAAACUAAUAGCCUUCAAAGCUAUAAAUAUAAGAAUAGUCUUUUAAGCCUUA